rnacentral:rRNA from 1 species
AACGCGAAGAACCUUACCCAGACUUGACAUACAGUGGAAGUUAUCAGAAAUGCUAACGCCCUUCGGGCCGCUGAACAGGUGCUGCAUGGCUGUCGUCAGCUCGUGCCGUGAGGUGUUGGGUUAAGUCCCGCAACGAGCGCAACCCUUAUCGUUAUUUGCCAACAGGUAGUGCUGGGAACUCUAACGAGACUGCCUGGGUUAACCAGGAGGAAGGUGAGGAUGACGUCAAGUCCGCAUGGCCCUUAUGUCUGGGGCUACACACGUGCUACAAUGGUCGGUACAGAAGGCAGCGAAGCCGCGAGGUGAAGCAAAUCCCUAAAACCGGCCCCAGUUCAGAUUGUAGUCUGCAACUCGACUACAUGAAGAUGGAAUUGCUAGUAAUGGCAGGUCAGCAACACUGCCGUGAAUACGUUCCCGGGCCUUGUACACACCGUAGUAC